GACGAACGCUGGCGGCGUGCUUAACACAUGCAAGUCGAGCGGAAAGGCCCUGAUUUUGUGGGGUUCUCGAGUGGCGAACGGGUGCGUAACACGUGUGUAACCUGCCCUACACUUUGGUAUAACUUCAGGAAACUGGGGCUAAUCCCGUAUAGGAGCUCCCGCUGCGUGGUGGGGGUUGGAAAUUCUCGGCGGUUGUGGAUGGACUCGCGGCUUAUCAGCUUGUUGGUGGGGUAGUGGCUUACCAACGCUUUGACGGGUAGGCGGCCUGAGAGGGUGACCGGCGACAUUGGUACUGAGAUACGGCCCAGACUCCUACGGGAGGCAGCAGGGGGGAAUAUUGCACAAUGGGCGGAAGCCGGAUGCAGCAACGCCGCGGGCGGGAUGACGGCCUGCGGGUUGUAAACCGCUUUCGCUUGUGACGAAGCUUUAGUGACGGUAACGGGUAAAGAAGCACCGGCUAACUACGUG
rnacentral:rRNA from 1 species